rnacentral:rRNA from 1 species
CGACUCCGUGAAGCUGGAUUCGCUAGUAAUCGCGCAUCAGCCAUGGCGCGGUGAAUACGUUCCCGGGCCUUGUACACACCGCCCGUCAAGCCAUGGAAGCCGGGGGCGCUUGAAGUGCGUUGCCGCAAGGCGCGCCCUAGAGCGAAACCGGUGACUGGGGCUAAGUCGUAACAAGGUACC